UACGAGGCGACAUCAGUGAUGGGCGAGGUGCAGAUUACUAUCCCACUAUCAGCUAAAGCGUGAUUUCUCAACUCGAGUCCUGGAGACUCCGUGCUUUGCCAAGCUCACUGGUUUCCUAAUUUAUUGGUUCUGCCAUAAAGCCAUUGUUGGGCACACUGUUGGGUCCAGCUUCCAAACAAGCUUGGAUACUUGGAUACAAAUAAUUUAAUAACACAUAAAGGUGUUCCAUAAACAAUAAACAAAGAGAAAUCUGACCUAAUUUUAGUGCUUAAAUAAUGUCAAACACUUUAGAGUUAAUAUAAGCAAUGUAGGAUCAAACCGUUUUCUAAAGGACUGGACCACAAUGGCACCAAGGGAAAUCUAGCAUCUAGAAAGGUGAUGCUGGACACAAGACAAAAGGUGGUCAGUCAGUGACCAGGAGUAAAAAAUGAGAAUGGAUGUAUGGGGUGAAGGAAAAAGACAAAACAUCCUCUGAAGAUGUCUGUUGGCACUCUUAUUGAGAGCAGCACUAGUCCUGAUACACUAUAUGGCCAAAAGCCUUCUUCUGUAAAACAGGCUAUGUGCAGCAAGUGAAGCUGAUUUCAAAUAAGAACUGGACCCACAAAGACCCUGAUCAGGAUAACAAAAUCAAUAUUGCUUGACUAAAUACUGACUGCAUUUAAAGGACAGAUUUUGGUUAAAAACAAGCAAAAGAGCAAACAGAAGAUCACACGUCAGCACACCAGCACCAGGUCCCUCACAUAGUUUUGGGCUUUUUCUGUUAAAACGCCUGGAAUGUCGUCCUGUUUCCGACAGGCACGGACAGGCUGACUAGAUCACCCACAGGCGGGAACCGGAGAACACUGGCUAACCUCUGGUAACAGCAGGUUUGUGGACCUAUGAUCACCACUGCUUCAGUUCCAGUCCAGUUUAUUUAAGCAAACACCAAACAGCACAUCCUGUGAUGAGGAAAUAAAAAACUAAAUGAUGUAAA